rnacentral:rRNA from 1 species
AAUGAGAGGUCACGCCUGCCCAGUGACUAAAUGUUUAACGGCCGCGGUAUUCUGACCGUGCAAAGGUAGCGCAAUCACUUGUCUUUUAAAUGAAGGCCCGUAUGAAUGGCAUAACGAGGGCUCAACUGUCUCCUUUUUCUAGUCAAUGAAAUUGAUCUCCCCGUGCAGAAGCGGGGCUAUUUACAUAAGACGAGAAGACCCUAUGGAGCUUCAGACACUGAGACAGAUUACGUUAAGCACUCUCAUUUAAGAGGUAAAACUAAAUAUUUCCCUGCUCUAAUGUCUUUGGUUGGGGCGACCUUGGGGACACAACAACCCCCCAAGUGGAAUGGAGACACCAUCUCCUGAACAAAGAGCAUCCGCUCUAAGUGGUAGAAAUUCUAACCUUUAAGAUCCGGCAGAGCCGAUCAACGGACCGAGUUACCCUAGGGAUAACAGCGCAAUCCCCUUUUAGAGCCCAUAUCGACAAGGGGGUUUACGACCUCGAUGUUGGAUCAGGACAUCCUAAUGGUGCAGCCGCUAUUAAGGGUUCGUUUGUUCAACGAUUAAAGUCCU